rnacentral:rRNA from 1 species
UCGCCUACAUGAAGUCGGAAUCGCUAGUAAUCGCGGAUCAGCAUGCCGCGGUGAAUACGUUCCCGGGCCUUGUACACACCGCCCGUCACACCAUGAGAGUUUGUAACACCCAAAGCCGGUGGGGUAACCUUUUGGAGCCAGCCGUCUAAGGUGGGACAGAUGAUUGGGGUGAAGUCGUAACAAGGUAGC